UGUCCAAACAGGGACCCUGGACUAUUAGGUUAAAAGCCUAACGCUCUACUGACUGAGCUACCUGGUC